rnacentral:rRNA from 1 species
UACAGAGGUGGCAAGCGUUGUCCGGAUUUAUUGGGCGUAAAGAGCGUGUAGGCGGCCAGAUAAGUCCGCUGUGAAAUCUCGAGGCUCAACUUCGAGCUGUCGGUGGAAACUGUCUGGCUAGAGUCCGGAAGAGGAGAAUGGAAUUCCUGGUGUAGCGGUGAAAUGCGCAGAUAUCAGGAAGAACACCCGUGGCGAAGGCGGUUCUCUGGGACGGUACUGACGCUGAGACGCGAAAGCGUGGGGAGCGAACAGG